UAGUCAAGCAGGUUGUGGAUAAUUUUGAUACAAUGGGAAAUCCAGCAUAUAUACAUAAUUACGAAAGAGCAUUGUAGUCAGUGAAAAAAAAAAUCUCGUAAUUACGAGAUAGUUUAUUUUUCCUACUAGCAUCAGGAUCCGCAGCGGAUCCGCUUUCGGUCCGCCAAAUCCGCCCCACAGUCCGUCCGCUUUGCGGAUCCGCUGCGUAUUUGUUCCGUAUUCGCUUUCUGACUGUUGCUAACCCUAACCCUUGGAUGGCCUGCUGUUACAGAGAGAAUCUGCGGUUAAAUCAUCUUAGAUCCGCACUGUGAACGUACUUUUAACACAACACUGUUUUUGACACAAUGAUUUGUACUAUCAAUGCGCGGAUCCGCGGCUAAACCGGCUUUCCACCUGGAAAGAAGCAGCAUCCACCUGUUGUCCGCGGAUUUAACUAUGACAUCAGGAGCCCCUGUCCUUCUGCUGAGUGUCCCCAUCAGGAGCCCGGCACGCUGAUCAGAAAAUAUACUAUGGUUAAUAAGAAGAUGGACAUAACAGCAUGAUAAAGACCCUCUGGAGAAUUCCCUCUGCUGGGCCAAGUUCCAAAAAUGUAGAGACAGACCCUCUGUAAGUUUACUGUAUUAUCCUACUUUUAUUAACUUUCAUAACAGUACAGUGGGAGAGCCAUCUGAGCUGCCAUCAUCACAGCAGUCCUCUGCAUCAGAGAAAGAUGAGGUGUAAUGCAGACCGGUCACUCUGUGGUAAUUUCCUUGGAUAAACGAAUCCAGCUCCAGACCUGUGCUUGACAUUCUGCCGCGUCUAAAUGUCCACACGUCCACCAGUUGGCAGCACAGAGCACAACCCAUCACCGAGAGGAUUUCCCACCAGUGGUUGUUGGAUAAUUUAUGGUAAGUGACAAGCCAUAACUUAACUAUUAAAUGACUAGUUAUAUGUGAAUACAAACAUGCAAAAUUGGACUGUAAACAUAAGAGCAAUGUCGCCACCUGAUUUUCACCCACUAGUACCAGGAUGUUGGAAAAAGAAAGCAAUAGUGUAAUUUGCUUUCAAAUAAAUGUGUAUAAUUAUGUAUUUAAUACAUUUAAAAUAAAAUUGUAAUUGUAAUAUGUAAUUGACAGAAGAAUAGAUUACUCACAGCAUUAUGUAUGCUCCAAAAUUGACAUCCUACUCAAAUUACAACUUUCUUACGAGAAUAUUCCAAAGUUGUAAAAAAAAUUGUACUUAAGUAAAGUAGCAUUACUUCAAAAUAAUAUUACACAAAUAGAAGUACGAAGUAGUGGUCCAAGACACUAUUCAAGCAAGAGAAAAACAUAUUUGCGAAAACUACAACUCAAGAAAGAAUAAUUGUGAGACUAGCUGACUGCACGUACGUCAUAAUUUGAAGUUUAUGUAAUUGUUAUGGCAAAACAUAAAAUAAUGUUAUACUAAGAUAGACCCCAAAUAUUAGAAAAACUGUAUCAUUACCUGAAGGUGUGGGGUAACACGGACCAUAUAUAUGGUCUAUGUGCGACAAGCACAAUUUAUACUACUUAUACCUUCAAGUAAAGGUAUAGAAGUUUGAAAACUACCCUGAGAAAUAAAAUUGUAUGAAAAAGUCACUCAAGUAUUGUGAGUACUCCCUAGCUCUGCUUAAAAGAAAAUCAUUAAAUAUUUCUGUAAAAUAGAGAUUAAUCUCUUAUCUCCUACAUGGAAGGUUAACAACUGGAGAUGUCUCUCCCAAUGUGUUGCUGCUGUUGCCAGACACUACUUGUAAAUAUUUAACCUAAACUGUACCACUAUUGUCCAAAUGCGUGGGAGUAGAUUUAGUGCGCAGUGCUUGACACACACCAGUCGUCGACUUUGAAGACCUAAAAAAAGAAAAGGAGAAAGUCUAACUGGUCAUGCCAAAAAAUGAUGCAUU